rnacentral:rRNA from 1 species
AGAGUUUGAUCCUGGCUCAGAUUGAACGCUGGCGGCAUGCCUUACACAUGCAAGUCGAACGGCAGCGCGGGGCAACCUGGCGGCGAGUGGCGAACGGGUGAGUAAAAUAUCGGAACGUACCCUGGAGUGGGGGAUAACGUAGCGAAAGUUACGCUAAUACCGCAUACGAUCUAAGGAUGAAAGUGGGGGACCGCAAGGCCUCACGCUCCUGGAGCGGCCGAUAUCUGAUUAGCUAGUUGGUGGGGUAAAGGCCUACCAAGGCAUCGAUCAGUAGCUGGUCUGAGAGGACGACCAGCCACACUGGAACUGAGACACGGUCCAGACUCCUACGGGAGGCAGCAGUGGGGAAUUUUGGACAAUGGGCGCAAGCCUGAUCCAGCAAUGCCGCGUGAGUGAAGAAGGCCUUCGGGUUGUAAAGCUCUUUUGUCAGGGAAGAAAAGGUGCGGAUUAAUAAACUGCGCUCAUGACGGUACCUGAAGAAUAAGCACCGGCUAACUACGUGCCAGCAGCCGCGGUAAUACGUAGGGUGCAAGCGUUAAUCGGAAUUACUGGGCGUAAAGCGUGCGCAGGCGGUUUUGUAAGUCUGUCGUGAAAUCCCCGGGCUCAACCUGGGAAUUGCGAUGGAGACUGCAAGGCUAGAAUCUGGCAGAGGGGGGUAGAAUUCCACGUAGCAGUGAAAUGCGUAGAGAUGUGGAGGAACACCGAUGGCGAAGGCAGCCCCCUGGGUCAAGAUUGACGCUCAUGCACGAAAGCGUGGGGAGCAAACAGGAUUAGAUACCCUAGUAGUCC